rnacentral:tRNA from 1 species
GGGGGAGGAUAGGGUCCGGUGGCUCUACUGGACUUCAAAUCCAGCUUCUGGCGUCAACGUCGGAGGUGGGUUCGACUCCCACCCUCCCCCGCCA